UACGAAGGGGGCUAGCGUUGUUCGGAAUUACUGGGCGUAAAGCGCACGUAGGCGGAAUGCUAAGUCAGGGGUGAAAUCCCGGGGCUCAACCCCGGAACUGCCUUUGAUACUGGCAUUCUCGAGUCCGGAAGAGGUGAGUGGAAUUCCGAGUGUAGAGGUGAAAUUCGUAGAUAUUCGGAAGAACACCAGUGGCGAAGGCGGCUCACUGGCCCGGUACUGACGCUGAGGUGCGAAAGCGUGGGGAGCAAACAGG
rnacentral:rRNA from 1 species